rnacentral:rRNA from 1 species
GACGAACGCUGGCGGCGUGCUUAACACAUGCAAGUCGAACGAAGAGCGAUGGAAGCUUGCUUCUAUCAAUCUUAGUGGCGAACGGGUGAGUAACGCGUAAUCAACCUGCCCUUCAGAGGGGGACAACAGUUGGAAACGACUGCUAAUACCGCAUACGAUCUAAACUCGGCAUCGAGGAUAGAUGAAAGGUGGCCUCUACAUGUAAGCUAUCACUGAAGGAGGGGAUUGCGUCUGAUUAGCUAGUUGGAGGGGUAACGGCCCACCAAGGCGAUGAUCAGUAGCCGGUCUGAGAGGAUGAACGGCCACAUUGGGACUGAGACACGGCCCAGACUCCUACGGGAGGCAGCAGUGGGGAAUCUUCCGCAAUGGACGAAAGUCUGACGGAGCAACGCCGCGUGAGGGAUGACGGCCUUCGGGUUGUAAAGCUCUGUUAAUCGGGACGAAAGGACUUCUUGCGAAUAGGGAGAAGGAUUGACGGUACCGGAAUAGAAAGCCACGGCUAACUACGUG